GUGAGAUAGGAAUGUGGACACUGAGAUCACAUAACUAGUAGCAAGGAAGCCAGAACUUAACCAUGGAUCUUUCCAAUUCAAACUUUGCAUCCUAAUUAAAUAAGGCAUCCUCUCAAAUUGACAAUUGCCAAAUGUUCUGGAUGAGAUUUCUAACUAACCAAUGGACCCCCUCACAGUCUGAAAAUGCAUCAAAAGAACACAAGCAGCUAGGAAGAAAGUGGGCCAGAAAGAGGGGCAAAAAUCAGGAGCAUCUAGGCAGCAAAGAAUGGAAAAUCUGGAUGUGA
rnacentral:lncRNA from 1 species